GACGAACGCUGGCGGCGUGCCUAAUACAUGCAAGUAGAACGCUGAAGCUUGGUGCUUGCACCGAGCGGAUGAGUUGCGAACGGGUGAGUAACGCGUAGGUAACCUGCCUGGUAGCGGGGGAUAACUAUUGGAAACGAUAGCUAAUACCGCAUAACAGUAGAUAUCGCAUGAUAGCUACUUGAAAGGUGCAAAUGCACCACUACCAGAUGGACCUGCGUUGUAUUAGCUAGUUGGUGAGGUAACGGCUCACCAAGGCAACGAUACAUAGCCGACCUGAGAGGGUGAUCGGCCACACUGGGACUGAGACACGGCCCAGACUCCUACGGGAGGCAGCAGUAGGGAAUCUUCGGCAAUGGACGGAAGUCUGACCGAGCAACGCCGCGUGAGUGAAGAAGGUUUUCGGAUCGUAAAGCUCUGUUGUAAGAGAAGAACGGGUGUGAGAGUGGAAAGUUCACACUGUGACGGUAUCUUACCAGAAAGGGACGGCUAACUACGUG
rnacentral:rRNA from 1 species